rnacentral:snoRNA from 1 species
UGUGCAUAUGAAGAUCGAUGAACAGACAGGGACAUCAGAUUUCCAAAGAGAAUGAUGAUUUGUCAGAUGGGAAUCUCUCUGAUGCACA